rnacentral:rRNA from 1 species
UACAGAGGUCUCAAGCGUUGUUCGGAUUCAUUGGGCGUAAAGGGCGCGUAGGUGGUCAGGUAAGUCAGGUGUGAAAGCUCUGGGCUUAACCCAGGAAUUGCAUCUGAUACUGCUUGGCUUGAGUACGGUAGAGGAGGGUGGAAUUCCCAGUGUAGCGGUGAAAUGCGUAGAUAUUGGGAGGAACACCGGUGGCGAAGGCGGCCCUCUGGACCGAAACUGACACUGAAGCGCGAAAGCUAGGGGAGCAAACGGG